rnacentral:rRNA from 1 species
AUUGAACGCUGGCGGCAGGCCUAACACAUGCAAGUCGAGCGGAUGACGGGAGCUUGCUCCUGGAUUCAGCGGCGGACGGGUGAGUAAUGCCUAGGAAUCUGCCUGGUAGUGGGGGACAACGUUUCGAAAGGAACGCUAAUACCGCAUACGUCCUACGGGAGAAAGCAGGGGACCUUCGGGCCUUGCGCUAUCAGAUGAGCCUAGGUCGGAUUAGCUAGUUGGUGAGGUAAUGGCUCACCAAGGCGACGAUCCGUAACUGGUCUGAGAGGAUGAUCAGUCACACUGGAACUGAGACACGGUCCAGACUCCUACGGGAGGCAGCAGUGGGGAAUAUUGGACAAUGGGCGAAAGCCUGAUCCAGCCAUGCCGCGUGUGUGAAGAAGGUCUUCGGAUUGUAAAGCACUUUAAGUUGGGAGGAAGGGUUGUAGAUUAAUACUCCGCAAUUUUGACGUUACCGACAGAAUAAGCACCGGCUAACUCUGUGCCAGCAGCCGCCGUAA